AACGAACGCUGGCGGCGUGGAUAAGACAUGCAAGUCGAACGGGAUAUUGUGAGUAGCAAUACAAGCAAUGUUCAGUGGCGAACGGGUGCGUAACACGUGGAUACAUUCCGGAAAGCGGGGGAUAGCCCAGGGAAACUUGGAUUAAUACCGCAUGUGGUCGAGAGACUAAAGACGGGGACCGUAAGGCCUGUCACUUUCCGAUUGGUCCGCGGCCUAUCAGCUAGUUGGCGGGGUAAAAGCCCACCAAGGCUACGACGGGUAGCUGGUCUUAGAGGACGACCAGCCAUACUGGAACUGAGACACGGUCCAGACACCUACGGGUGGCAGCAGUCGAGAAUCUUUCACAAUGGGGGCAACCCUGAUGGAGCGACGCCGCGUGGAGGAUAAGGUCCUCGGAUUGUAAACUCCUGUCAUGCGUGAACAAGGUUGCUUGGUUAAUACCUGGGCAAAUUGAUGGUAACGCAAGAGGAAGAGACGGCUAACUCUGUGCCAGCCGCCGCGGUAACAC
rnacentral:rRNA from 1 species